CAGGAAAUGGAGCGGCAAGAACACUGGGUCGGCUACUUGCAAGCGUGGGUUUGUGCAGUUCUGUUAUGAGCCCAUCAAGCAGAUCAUUGCCACUUGCAUGAAUGACCAGAAGGACAAGCUGUGGCCUAUGUUGCAGAAGCUUGGUGUCCAGAUGAAGUCUGAUGAGAAGGAGCUCAUGGGUAAACCUUUGAUGAAGCGUGUCAUGCAGACUUGGCUCCCUGCAAGUACCGCAUUGCUUGAGAUGAUGAUCUUUCACCUUCCGUCGCCCCACACUGCACAGAGGUACCGUGUUGAGAACCUGUAUGAAGGUCCUCUCGAUGAUCAGUACGCCACCGCCAUCAGCCUUGUGGUGGUUGACUGUAUUGAGGGUGUCUGUGUUCAGACUGAGACUGUGCUGCGUCAGGCUCUUGCUCAGAUCACCUGAGAGAACAUUUUGAAUGAACCAGGCCACCCAAAUGGAACCCGCUCUGAAGAAUAGUACCCACAACAGCUUGAUGGAGCAAGCUUUAUUCCACCACACCAAGUUCCUGAUCCCAAGCCCUCCUUCAUCUUUUGACAGUAUAACCGUUUCCCAAGAUACUCUUGCAGAGUGAGAGCCUUCCGAUGAUCCUUUUCAAAGGUAAGCCCCACACAGAGAAUUUAUGAUUUCUAUGCACUUCUUAGGGAUUGUGAAUGUUGAGCACCAGAACAGCUGGUUUUAAACUGAAACACUACAAAAUCGCCAUGCAAACAAGAUAAUCCGCAACCGGAAAACAAAAUUCGAUCUAAACGAUCGAAAGAUAACUAUUUUACAUCAAAGUUUCUUAUCUCAUCUCCUCUCCUCUGUGAAAGAUAGAGAGAGAGAGAACAGAGGAGAGAGAGAUAAAACUUUUAACACUACAAAGUUCCAUACCAAAAAAAAAAAAAAUCUUCAAAACCAAAUCUUAAAACGAAUUAUUGGGCCAAAAUAAUAAACUAUUGGGCCAAAUUUUUUAUUGGGCCACAAAGGGUCGAGAAAAGCAGCGGAAACCCUAGGCAUAUAUCAAUCGCCUCCUCUCCGGCUCAUCUCUCUCACAAGCCUCUCCUUCCCCUCCAAGGUCAGAGUCCGUUUCUUUGUUACGAUUGUCGUCGAUGGUUUAAUUGUUGUAUUGAAUCUGCAUAGUUUUAGCUGUUAGAUGUUUAUAUGAUCAGUAGUACUGUUUCCUUAUGGUCUUUGUUGUUAUUUUAUUUUUAUUUUCUUGGUAAUCGAUCUGUCUCGUUUCUUUAGAUCUGAUCGUAGAAACGUUUAAUGAUGAUAGGAUCCGUAUAAAUACUAUUUGAUUGUGAGCUGUUACUUGUCUGUUUGCUCAAGUUUUCAGAAGAUUAUUUUGGUAUUAAAAUGUUUUUGAAUCGUUUCAUAAUCAGUUGCCUAAUUUAUUCUUAAUAUUGUUUCUGUGAUUGCAGAGAUAUCGUAGGGUAUCUACAAAUCAGAGUUUGUCAAAAUGGUAAGCCAUACUUGUUAAUAUCUUUACUUUUGUCUUCUUGUUGUUGAUUCUAACUUUUUUUUUUUUUUUCCUUUAAAUUAACUUGUAGGUGAAGUUUACGGCCGAUGAGCUUCGUAGGAUUAUGGAUUACAAACACAACAUCCGUAACAUGUCCGUUAUUGCCCAUGUCGACCAUGGUACUUACUGUCUUUUUUAUUUAUUUUUUUUUUUCAGACUUCAAAUUAUUUUUACUAGGGUUACUCAGGUUCUCUUUUCUCUUAUGCUUUUUGUGAUUGACGACAGGUAAAUCCACCCUGACUGACUCCUUGGUUGCUGCUGCUGGUAUCAUUGCGCAAGAAGUUGCUGGUGAUGUCCGUAUGACUGAUACUCGUGCUGACGAGGCUGAACGUGGUAUCACCAUCAAGUCCACGGGUAUCUCUCUCUACUACGAGAUGACCGAUGCUUCCUUGAAGAGCUUCACUGGCGCCAGAGAUGGGAACGAGUACCUUAUCAACCUCAUCGACUCUCCUGGCCACGUUGACUUCUCCUCUGAGGUCACUGCUGCGCUCCGUAUUACCGAUGGUGCCCUUGUGGUGGUUGACUGUAUUGAGGGUGUCUGUGUUCAGACUGAGACUGUGCUGCGUCAGGCUCUUGGUGAGAGGAUUAGGCCCGUGCUGACUGUGAACAAGAUGGACAGGUGUUUCCUUGAGCUUCAGGUUGAUGGUGAGGAGGCUUACCAGACGUUCCAGAGGGUCAUUGAGAACGCUAAUGUCAUCAUGGCAACGUAUGAGGAUCCUCUCCUUGGUGAUGUUCAGGUCUACCCUGAGAAAGGAACCGUCGCCUUCUCUGCUGGUCUCCAUGGCUGGGCUUUCACCCUGACCAACUUUGCGAAGAUGUAUGCUUCCAAGUUCGGUGUUGACGAGACUAAGAUGAUGGAGAGGCUGUGGGGUGAGAAUUUCUUUGACCCUGCCACCAGGAAAUGGAGCGGCAAGAACACUGGGUCGGCUACUUGCAAGCGUGGGUUUGUGCAGUUCUGUUAUGAGCCCAUCAAGCAGAUCAUUGCCACUUGCAUGAAUGACCAGAAGGACAAGCUGUGGCCUAUGUUGCAGAAGCUUGGUGUCCAGAUGAAGUCUGAUGAGAAGGAGCUCAUGGGUAAACCUUUGAUGAAGCGUGUCAUGCAGACUUGGCUCCCUGCAAGUACCGCAUUGCUUGAGAUGAUGAUCUUUCACCUUCCGUCGCCCCACACUGCACAGAGGUACCGUGUUGAGAACCUGUAUGAAGGUCCUCUCGAUGAUCAGUACGCCACCGCCAUCAGAAACUGUGAUCCUAAUGGCCCUCUCAUGCUCUAUGUUUCUAAGAUGAUUCCUGCCUCAGACAAGGGGAGGUUCUUUGCUUUUGGUCGUGUCUUCUCUGGAAAGGUG
rnacentral:lncRNA from 1 species